CCCCCUUCCGUCUCAUCUCUCCCACAGGCCAUCAGAGACCCAAACCUAAUGCCGUUGGCCGGAAAUCGUUGCCGGCGGCGGCAAGUCUCCAAACGACCUAAAAUUUACACCAUGGAUUCCCCAUGACCUUCUCUUCCCAAAACCCAAACUUCCAUGGCUCGAAUCACACCUGAUCUUCUCGAAUAUUCAAGUUUGUUGCCGUCGCCGCCGCCCGCAACGGCUUCGUCCCCAAUUGUCACCAAGUUUACACUAUGGGUUCACCUCCUCCUACAUCACGAAGCCACACCCAUUUCAUCUCAAAGCUCACCGGAACUGCUCGAAUAUUAGUUUAAAACCUCCAACCAAAACCCUAAGUCCUCCAAACACCACCGAAUUGACACCACGAACCUCCUCGCCUUUCUCGUGAUGAAUCCACCGUCAUUGGCCCUCGAAUCUCAUUGGAUUCAGUCUAAUUUUGAAUCUGAAAAAUGGCCGAUGAUAUUUCUUAGUGGUUUCUUUUAAUUAAUUAGUUGUUUUAAUCAAUUUGAGUCUAGUUUUUAUUUAUUUUCUAUACUUUUGUGUUUGUUCUGAUUGUUUAAAUGUUCAAAUGACAGUUUAAUUAGUUCAAGUGAUUAAUUGUUAGUUUAAUUGGAUUUGAUUCAGUUUUGAUGCAGCAAAUUUUCUUCUGAUAAUAACAAUGUGUUCAUUUGGUUGCAAUUUGAUUAAGAUUAGUUAGGUUUUUAAUAAUUGAUUUCGUGUUUCAAAUCAGUAGUUGUUUAGUAGUUGUUCAGUAAUUAGAAAUUAGUAGCUGUUUGAAUUAGUCUAGUAAUUGAGUUAAACUCUUUUGAUGUAUCAGUGUUUGUUUUCAAGUAGUUGUUAGGAUUAGUUUAGUUAAUCUGGUUAUAGCUAAACAAAUCAGAAUUUAGUUAGUCAUGGGGUUGGGUUUAGUUAACUAGUGAUAGUAAAUUUAAGGGUAUCCAGGGGUAAUUUGGACACUUCAAAGAGAAAGAAUGUUGUAGUUGAGACUAGAACCACCUAGAACCUUCUAGGGUAGGGCUUUAGUUUAGGUUUUGGUAAAUUUAGGGUACUUACUUGAGCAACAAGUCAAAAAAUAGAGGGUUAAGUAGUCAAAAACUGAAAAAUAAAGAGGGACUAAAAGGAAAACACAAAAUCUGAGGGUUGCCUAUUAGUUGCCUAUAUAAGGUAGUCCCCUAGUACCUUGAAGGGGAAGUUUUUUUCAGCCUCAAAAAUUCCUCCCAAAUAUCCUACAGUUUCAUAUUCAAAAUCUGAUCUAGAAUUAGAAAUUUCUUUCAGAAUUUUAAGCUUUUCUACAGGAAAAAACCCAAAGAAAAGCAGCAAAAACUCUUUGAAAACACUAUUCCAUUGACAGUCCAUAGUUUAGUGACUGAAAAUGACUCAAAUGCUUCUGGAAUACUGAUUGUUGAGGUUCAGAGGUCUACUAGUUUAAAGUUCGAGUCAGAUUGGGGUUUAUUCGAGUUAUUGGUUGGAUAUGUCUGAUUGCUGAAGGUUUUCCUGGAAGUCCUGGGUUCAAGUUCAAGCUCAUUUGAGUUUAUUCAGUUGUAUGUGGUUGAGUCUCUAUUUUUGUUUUGGUUUUGGACUUUUCCUGGUUUGCUGAAUUCAUGUUUGGGCUGUUGUUCAACCUAUGCUUGUCACUACUACUGAUUUCCUCUUCUUUUGUUAUACUUUGAUUUCCAGGUACACAUUCCUAAAUUUACUUCGAUGUAACUGUGAAUUGAAGUUGAAAUGGAGGUGUUCAUCAGAUUUGUGUGCGAAGAAUGUUUUCUGGUGUUUGUAGUUUAUAGUUAAAUAGAUAUUUGUAGCAUUUGGUUAGCCUUUAUUGUAUUACAUGGAAAAUAGGUAUAUGGACUGUUAAUCAGGACUACUUCUAAAUUGUUUGGGUUGUUUGAUUCAUAGACUGUCUGGACUUUUGGACUAGUGAUCGUUCGUUAGCCAUGCUGUAGUUUAAUCUCGUUUUGUGUAGUGUGAUUUUUGAAAGUCAGAAGAUAGGCAGAAUAGAAAAUUAUUUCGUGAUCCAUGAUCUUCACUUGUAUUAAUAAUUGGUAGUUAAUCCUGAAGUUACAAUAUAUGUGUUUAGUAAUGAUAAUUGUGAGUUAGUAGAAAUCAAAAGCAAUUAAGGUAAAGCUGUUUCAAAAUGACCCAGUCAUUCCAAAAUUAAUUUGUAAGCAUUGUUAAUUGGUAAUUGUUAAAAUUAUUUUAGACAAAUUCCACAGUUGAGGCAGUUAAGGUGUAGUUAGUUAUGUCAAAUUCCACAAUUAUUUUAGAAUUGGUUAACUCAUUAAUGAUAAUCCUUGCCUAAUUGACAUCGCAUGCUGCUUAGAUUAUUCAUUCCUCUAAUAGCAUUUCAUUGUCGUCGUUGUGUGGGUUCGAUAAUGGCUUAAGGCAUCACAACUCUCCUGGGCCUAUCUUCCGAUGACGUCUGGCCCAAAUAAUUCCCUUUCAAAGGGCUGGCAUCGAAGCUGUCUGUUGCGAUUGUUUAUAAGCAGACUCGUUUAGUCCAUUAAUUUGGACUUGGCUUGAAGGAUUCAAUUCAUAGUUUAGUAUAAUAUAAGUUUGGGCCUUCGAGUUAGGUAGCGGGUUCAAAUUGAGAGGUUCCAUCUUUUGAUUGAAUCCGGACUUGAACUCGAGGCCCAAAAUUUAUAAUAGUAAUUAAGUAGGACUUUUCUUUUAUUAUUAGAGACAAAUAAAAAUAGAAAAUCAUGGUUGCUUUAGGUUUGACUUUUAAAUAAUAAAAUGAUAUGAGCCUCGUUAAACAAAAGGCAUAAAUUUCGGGGCCCUCAGUAGAUGUUUAUAUUAAAAUACUUAGAUUUCAGGACGGUCCGUUUAGAGAAUUUCACGGCCUUCCCCAAAGAUAAUAACGCGUUAGUCAUUCUACGCACGCCUUUAAUAAUUUACCUUCAUAAAAUCGGGUGUGCAUUUCAUGUGACCCAAAUCAAAUCCCAAAACAUCGAAUAAAAUGUGUUCAGGAUUGCGGGUGCAUUUCAUGUGGCGCAAUCCGAAUGCACAUUUUAAGCGACGUUCAACUUUUUUUAAUAUUAAAUAAAAAGCGGUUAAAAGUUAAAAUCGGCACAUAGGUUCAUCAUAUAAUAAAAACAGAUAAAUAAGCUAAACACUAUAGUUGAGCGACCGUGCUAGAACCACGAAACCCGGGAAUGCCUAACACUUUCUCCCGGGUUAACAGAAUUUGUUACUCGGAUUUCUGGUAAACAGAGUUAUAUUUUCCUCGAUUCGGGAUUCAAUAGGUGACUUGGGACACCAUAAAUCUCCCAAGUGGCGACUUUGAUUUCUUAAUAAUAAACCUCGAUUCGAUUGUCCUUUAAGUGGAAAAACUCCUUUAUGCCCUUGUGGGUGUAGCAAAAAAAGGAGGUGUAAAAGCUCUGGCAACCCUGCUGGGGAGAAGAACCCAGAACGUUUUGUUCAGGGUUCAGAAUUCGAGCUUGGAAUAAUUUUGUGGUUGGCUUUAUCUGAUUUUGUUACAUGAUCUGUGCCUAUUGUGCUAAUUGACUACUUUUACCGCUUUGAUAUUUCGUGGAUUGUAUAUAAACUGUUCUGAAACCCAUCACCUCUCUGAGUCUCCUAAAUCAUGAAGAAAGGUACAUUUCGUGUGACUUCUUUUCUAUAUAGAGUCUAAUUCCCAAUUUAGAACAAGGUUCGGAUAAGUUGCUAAGUCGGUGAAGCUUCUGUUUUCCCUGUACGCUGCCUUCCCCUCGGCUCGAGCUGUCCGCUCGGGUAAGCCAGGUCUAUAACAAUAAACUCAGGUUCUGAACCUAAAAUAACACAACCUCAUGCCGGAUCCCUAAUAUGAACGCUUAUUUGCAUCAUGUGCAUUUGACUUGUGGAACUCAACACAGGGGUUGGGUCAGUCUAGGAAAAGCAACCUGAAAUGAAAAGACCAUCUUGAUGCAUCCUACUUGUUUUCUGUGCAUUUAUUUGUUUCGGACUUGCAUGUUGACCGGCUUCUGAAUAUCGGGAAUAUUGGAAAAUUGAGAAAAGGAGAAAAAGAGAAAAAUAGCAGUGUAGAGAGUUAAUUACCUUUUUUUUAAAAACCAAUGCCCAAAUAACGUCGAAACUCUGCCGAAUUUUUGAGAAAAUGAAAAAAAGAAGAAUGUUUCAUUAGUUUGAUUUAUUCGAAAAGAAAAAAAAAGAGUCUUUAUUUUUAGUUUGUCUUGUUUUCAAAAAUGGAAAAGGAAAAAUAGGUUGUUUUAGUGGCCAUUGAAAAAGAAAAAGAAAAUAAAAAGAGUCUUGUUUGCAAGAAUAGUUUGUUUUCUUUGCCCGAACGACGCGGGUUUAAUUCUCACCGGAUGUGAGAUACGUAGGCAACCCUCAUCGGGUCCAACCUCCUCUUUGCAAAAAUAGCCAAAAAAUAUCUAAGUUUAAAUUUUGGUAUGAAUAAGUCAGGUGAAGCCAUUCUUGUUAGAAAUAGCCGAAUUUUCCUAAAAGGACGCUGAAAGGCUGCUUUUGCAAGAACAACCACUUUUUGGUAAGUUUUCAAGGUUUUGGCCGGUUAGCCAACACAACCUUAUAAUCUUCGUUCCCGAGGUGAUGAAAUGCCAUGAUCGUGAAACCAGGUCUUUUAUUUUAAUUUGAAAAAUAAGAAAAAGAGUCAUUGGUUAAGUGAAUACCGUUUGGAUUUUGGUCAAAAUAAGCCGAUCCAACUUCGGCGGCGUCGUAAACCGUUCUUCCCUAAAUAGCCCUAGAGUAUCUUUCAGUUGUCCAAAGGCUAUUUUCAUAAAAGAACGGACAAGUUUGUGAAGUAUCGUAAAAUAACCCUCUCCGGCUUCAAAAUUCAUGCGAAAUUGGAAAGCGGCCAUAUUUACAAAAAUAGCCAUUUGGUUAGAAUUGGCAUUAGGGGAAAGAAUCUGUCAGUUUUUUUUAUUUUUUAUUAGAUUAUGUGGGUUGUUGGACUUUCGAGUCCGUAUUUCAUCUUUUCGUCAGAGUUUGAUAGUUUGCUCUAAGUUUGUUAAUUUUUAAAUCAUUGUAAUCAAUGUUUGUUAUGUUAUGAAAGAUUGAGAAGUCCCAAAAUAUGUUUUAUUAUUUCUACCUUUUAUUUGCAUGAACUACGCCCCGUUUGAUUCAUGCAGGGUCAUGAUACGUAGGAAAUCUUCAUAGAAUUCGACUGUAACCAAAUGAAAAGGAAAAGAAAAUAAGAAGAAAACAAGAGAGGGAGAAAGGAAAAGAAAAAAGAAAAAAAAGUGGAAAAACAAGAAUGGAAAGAGAGAAAAUAAGAAAUCGAGGGAAUGAGAGAACCGAAACAGAAACAAAGGCAAGAAUUGAAAAAGAAACAGAGAAAACACAGGAAAAGCAAGAAAAAGAAAAAGAAAGAAAGUUGCCAUUUGAAAUAAAAGCCGGGAUGACGCAAGCAGUCGAGCAAAUGCAUAAUAGAAUCCGUUAAAUGCUUAGGUGCAUUCAUUCCCAAACGUGCGGUUAUCAAAUCUGCUCAUGCCCUAACCAUUAACCAAGUUGUUGUUGAUGUUGAGUCCAGACAGGUGGUUAGUUGAUCUGGAAUUCUGGAAACUCACCCGUACAACACCCGGUAGAAAGAUAAAGUAAACAUGACAGGACAUGAUUCGGACAUUAGUAUUGUGGAGCCUACAAAUGAAGUUGAGGUAACAGAUGUGGGUGCUAUGAAAGCAGAGAUGCAAAAAUUGAAAGCGCAAAUGGCCAAAAUGCAUCGGGCUUGGUCUUAGGGGCAUCCGGCACCACUAUGCCCCGACAAUUCAUCUUACACCCCACCUCAGGCUCAGGCUCAGGAGCCCACCACUCCUAGCACAUCUUUAGACUCCCCCUUCCACACCCAGGGCUAUGGUAACACUUCAUACGCUGCUCUAGCUCCACCACCGAAACAGAACUCUCUGGUUAGUUGUUUUGCAUUCUGGCAACUCAUUCCUACAACACCCGAUCAAAAGACAAACUGAAAUGACAGGCCAGGAAUCCUAUGCCAGUAUUGUGGACCCAAUAAAAGAGGUAGAGGUAAUGGAUGUUAAUUCAAUAAAGGAAGAAAUGCAUAAGUUGAGGCAGCAAAUGGCUGAAAUGCAUGAGGCUUGGUUUAGGGGUCAGCCAACGCCAGUUUAUCCCGCCAAUCCAGCCUACAUCCCACCGUUGGCUCAGUCUCAGGAACCUCCUACUGUGAAUUCAUAUCCGGCUUUUCCGUUCUACCAAAAGAGCUAUGACACCACCUCCUACCCUCCCCAAUCUCCACCACCAAAACAAAACCCUCCUCCGCAAAUCACCCCAAUCUUUAUGGCGCCUCCACCUGCCACACUGCAAAGAUCUUCCAGGAAGCCACUAUUUCAGGCCCACGACAGCCAGUACUAUCCUCUUGAGCCAACCUUUAAAGUUCAUGAGACAUAUUCCUACACCCCUCAUUUUGAGCUCUCGGUGGAAACUGAAAAGCCGCUUAUGAACCCGGAGCAGGAAGAGAUGUUUCGAAAAGUCAAAAGCCCGGGGCAAUCCUUCAGGAACAUGCAAGGGCUGGGUGGCCAAGUCAGUGUGGCCUACAAGGAUUUGUAUCAUUUCCUGGAUGUUCAGUUACCCUCAGGGUUCAAAAUGCCAAAAUUCGAUCUGUAUGAUGGGCACAGUGACUCAGUGGCACACCUGAAGGGAUUUUGCAGCAACAUGAGAGGGGCUGGUAGAAUUCAUGAGCUACUGAUGGCGUACUUCAGCCAGAGUCUAAGUGGGUGUACUUUGGAAUUAUAUACACGUCAGGACCAUGAGAUGUGGUAUACUUGGGGUGACUUGGCACACGCGUUCGCUUGCCAUUUUUAGUACAAUCUACAAAUUGUUCCAGAUUACCCUUUCAUUGAUAAAACUUGAGAAGAAGCUCGGGAAACAUUUCAGGGAGUAUUGUUUCCACUGGAGAGAACAGGUUGCGAGGGUCAAUCCUCCGAUGAAAGAAAGCGAGAUGGUUGACUAUUUUCUACAAGCUUUGGAGCCAACUUACUUUGGUCACUUGGUAACAACAAUUGGAAAAACUUUUAAUUAAGUUAUGAAGAUGGGAAGUAUGGUCGAGGAGGACUCAAGACCAAUAAAAUAAUGAGUUAUUCAGUGAUAAAAGCCAACACCCAGGCCAUCCAUAGCGGCACUAGGGGUAAGCCCGAGAAAAAUAAAAAGGAAGAGGUUGCAACUUUUGAGUCCGGCGCGUGGUCCAGAUCUAGAGGCCCUUCACCCUAUUACCAACCCCAACCCCACCAUCCAAAUUAUCCUUACACCCUAUAUAUCCCUCCACAACCCUAUUACCCACAACCAGAUCUAUAUUAUUCCGUCCAUCAUGCUCAAAUCUAUGCCCAGCCUCCGCCUCAUGCGCAAUGGCAUGCACCGGCUCCCCACAAUUCAUACCCAGCUCCGUAAAACACAUAUCCAUCCCCAAGAGAUUACAGAAACCACCUUGGAGUGGGUCAUCGACCAAAUCAAUCCUUCCAAGAUGAAAGACUACAUAAGCAAAAGACUUUCACUCCAUUUGAAGAAUCAUACACUAGUCUUUUUCACAAAUUGAGGCAGUUAGGCCUGUUGAAUCCUAUUGAGCCAAAAUGCCAAAACCCAUUCCUAGAAAUCUGGAACACUCAGUCAGUUGUGAGUACUAUUCGGGGGCCCCCCAACAUGAUACAGAGAAGUAUUGGAAGCCAAAGACUAUUGUGCAAGAGCUUAUUGACAAUCACUGGAUCGAGGUUUAGGCCCCAAAGGCACCAAACAUUAGCUAUAAUUCGUUGUCGGCUCACCGUGAAUCUCACAUGAUUAAAUUGAUACACAAUGGAGGGGAGCUCAAGAAACCUUCGCAAAUAGUAAUGAUGAUCCGUGCUAGUAAAGCCAGUUCGAAGGAAAAAUCAACCAGUGAGAAAACAGUGGCUCAAUUGAAAGCGGUGGACAGUAAGACGGUUGUGGUAGCCGAGAAAGGGUCAUCGAGCAGUGUUGUCGUUAAACCCGAGCCAGUCAAAGUGGUGGUGCAAGGGGUAGACAAACAAACUUUUGAUGGUUGUGAAGGGAGCUCGCAUAGAGCCUAUUAUCAUAAAUUCAGCAACUCAAUUGCCAGUGACCAACAACAAAACUAUUCCUUUUAGUUAUGAACAUGUGGUAAUAACAUAUAAGGGAAAAGAAGUCAAAGAAAUGUUGUUCGCCGAGGUUAACAUGGUUGAAGCAGGGGAAGGGUCAGGCAAGGCAAAUGUGUAGUUCGUCGGACCACAUGCAAAAAUCAACAAUUGGGAAGCUACUCCUCUUCUUACUUGGAGGGAGUCUUGGUAGUGGGUUUAGAUCUUCUUUUUUUGUCUGGAUAAUUCCAGGGUUUGUAAUUCAGAUAUCAUGCUCUGUCCAAUUGAAUUUUUUAAAGCCCCGUUAUCUUCAAUGAAAUGCAAUUGUCUUUCUUCAUUCCUAAUUUUGUCUCAGUCUUCUUUUCCUUUCUAUACAGUUCUCUUAAUGCUGGUAUCAAUGGCAUGACAUGCAUGAGGAAUCCUCGGCCCAGUCUGAAAAGCUGGUCUAAUUCUCAAGUAAUAAUACAAGAAGUUGAGUGUGAUGAUGAAAUGGAAUAUGAUGAUGAUGAGUGGGUAAAAACCCACCUGGAACAGUUGAGUUUGAUCGAUAAGAAGUUUGAUGAGACGUAUCUUGCCUCAUCAAGUUUAAGAAAAAGGAAAGUUCGCCCCAACUGGCUGGGGCCAUUCGUUAUAACCAGAGUAUUGUUUAAUGGUGCAAUAUAUCUAAUAGAUAUGGAAGGAAAAUGUGUAGAAAUGGCUUCCAAUUCUGAUGUAGUCAAGAGAUACUAUGUAUGAUUUCUUUAUUUGAUUGUACUUGUUUGUAUCUGGCAUAUUUUGAAUAUUGAAAUGACGAAGGCAUUUUGUUCUGCUAUCUAAGCACUUUACCCCCUUGUCAUCCCCUUUGAGUCUUAUUUGUUUUCUUUGACACCCCUCUUUUGGAAUCAAUGACAUAAUUCAGAAACGCAAGUGCGGAGGAUAAGUAAGUGAAAAAAUAAAAGAAUAAGAAAGAAGAAAAAGAAAGAAAGAAAAGAAAAGAAAAAAAUAGAAGAAAAGAAAAGAAAAAUGAAAAAAGGAAAAGAAGAAUAGAAAAACAGAAAAGAAAAGAAGAGAAAGAAAAUCACAGCAACUUAGUUUCUAUGACGUAAACUACGUGUGACUUGAUCUGAAAAGGGUACGUAUGCAGACUCUCUUUGAGGUUCAGUGAUACCAAAAUAAAAAUCCAAUGAUCCCCAAGCAAGAAACUGGGGUAGAAGUUGUGGUUAUCGUAAGAGAUAUGAUUUCGAAAGAUGUAAUUUUAACCCAUUUUUGAGUUAUACUUGAGCUUUUUAUAUCCUUUCUUUCUAACUCUAUCCAAAAGCCUACAUUACGGUCCAAAGAAAUACCUUCUGAUUAGUCUUUGAGAAAUGCCAAGUCAAGCAGGUAAAGGUAAUUCAUGUAUGGGGGAACACUCUGGUCCAAACAGGAAAAGUAAAAAAUGAGAGAGUCUUAUUGGUGAAAACCCUCACGGGAACCGUAUGGUGACGGGAGAUGAGAGAAAUUAAAAUGAGAGAGUCUUAUUGGUGAAAACCAUCACGGGCACCUUGAGGCAAAAGUGAGUUAUGAAAUGAACAAAUGAGAAAGGUCUGUUGGUGGAAAACUGUUGCAGGAUGAACAAAGUCAAGAUUUGGGUAAAGUGAUCAAGUUAUGGAAUUCUAAGGCAACAAAGUAUGGUCAUUGAAUGUUGGUUGGUUGGACAGAUUGGGCCAAUUAGUCUGAAAUGCAUGUGAUGACCAUUAGUACCAGCUAUUUUGGUCAGAUAAGUUUUUUUUCCUUCUCCUUUUAGUAGUCAUUCAGUUUUGGAUUCUUCUAAUCCUUAAAUCGUAAAAUUAUUGCAUUUCAUUUUAAUUUUAGAGGUUUUAUCUAUCUAAGAUGUAUCAAUGUCAGUUUUGUUCAAAGCAAGUGGAAAGAAAUUUCAAAGCUCACUACCAGCUUCCGAAACUUGUAUGGCACAGUGGGGUCAGAGUAUGUCAAGGACAACAUCAUCUAAGGUGGGAUACAGGGAAUCACCAGAAGUUUCAUCGGUGGAAUAAUUGGGGAAAUACCGCGGGAAAAUGCAUAUGUUUAGAUAAAGGGAUCAGAAAGGUGAAACAACAGCAUGGGUAUAGAGCACUCAGGUUGUCAAAGGUCAGAGGGUUUGAAAGUCAGUCAGAAAGUUAAGCGGUUCAGGGCCAGUUCAGGGAAGCUUCUCAAAGCAAAGCAAUACAGUGGAAGGAUUUUUAGCAAGAAUGCCAUCAACUAACCAUCAUUUUUAACUGAUAAAAUUUUCUUUGAUUGAAAUAGGGACAUAAAAGUAGGUUGUUCCGGAGGAACUCUCCAUAAGGGAAAAACAAGCAAUAAUCAGGUUUGACCGCAAAGUGUGGUUUGAUUAAAAUACAAGAUAGUCAUGAAUAGCAUAGGGGAAUGCAAGUCGGUUUCAAGUUUGCAUGUUUAGAAUAAAUUUCAAGUAGGAGUUGUCAGGACCUUCAUGGAUAAUAGGAUGUAGUUUAAAAACCCUUGUAGAUAACAUGAUAUAGUGAGAGUAAUACCUUAGGUUCGUAAUUAUUAGGAGUUGUUAGAACCUCCCUGGAUAAUAGGACUUAACUUUCAAAAUCUUAGUAAUAGUUGGUACAAUGAUUCAGUUAACACUCACUCAUGUACCCAGUUUCCAACUGGGGCAGAAAAGUUUCUUUGUUUUGUCUAUUUUGUCGAAGUCAGGAGCCCGCCUGGAGAACAGAGGCAUACAUUUCAAUUUUUUGCAGUCAGGAGCCCGCUGAUGACGUCCAAAUCAAACGCUAAAAAGCAAUGGACACGGUCGUAUGCAAUAUAAUUGACCCAACUAUGAGUCGGGGUUGAAUCCCACAGAGAACAAUGUGUAGGCGAUUAGGAAUGUAAUAAAAUUAUCUCUAGUUGCACAAUGCCAAACACUAUAAAUUUUGGUUGAAAAUUGUUUUUAUAUCUAAAAUGCGAAAAUAUAAACUAACCUAGAAAGCAAGUAAAAUGAUCAAUGGCUACAAGUAUGAAAGCAUCAGGAAUUACACUCAAGUANNNNNNNNNNNNNNNNNNNNNNNNNNNNNNNNNNNNNNNNNNNNNNNNNNNNNNNNNNNNNNNNNNNNNNNNNNNNNNNNNNNNNNNNNNNNAAUUACACUCAAGUAACGAUCCAAUGUAUUUUACGAUUUUACAAAUAUGAGCGAGUUUAUGUUAAUUAGCCACGGAUAAUAAUUCCUAAUUAGUUUCUUCCGAAUAAUAACAAGACUUCCUUAUUGAAUUAUCCCUAAUUACAAUUAGAAGAUUAAGCACACCAGAAGGCUACAAGUAGUUCAAUCUUAUCCCUAGGUAGAAUCUAUAAAAUGAGGGUUAACGCCUCAAGUUCUUGUUAAUUAAUCUUUCCCAACACCAAACUNNNNNNNNNNNNNNNNNNNNNNNNNNNNNNNNNNNNNNNNNNNNNNNNNNNNNNNNNNNNNNNNNNNNNNNNNNNNNNNNNNNNNNNNNNNNNNNNNNNNNNNNNNNNNNNNNUUAACGCCUCGAGUUCUUGUUGAUUAAUCUUUCCCAACACCAAACUAUUUUUUCCAAAAUCAUUUCGGACUUAAUGGGCGAGUCCUAGGGUUAGCUAAUCCCUUUGGAAACAUUAAAGAACAAGAAUAGUUAAAGUAACAAUAACUCACUUCAUAAAUAUAGAAAAAUCAUUCAAUACAUAAGCACAACAAGNNNNNNNNNNNNNNNNNNNNNNNNNNNNNNNNNNNNNNNNNNNNNNNNNNNNNACAUAAGCACAACAAGGUAUAAAAUCCACACUUUAAUUAUGAAUAUUCCCAUAAACAAGAUUUAAGUGUUGGAUAAAAUAUUACACACUUAGAUAAACAAUACAAAGCAAGAAAAUGAAGAAAUAAACAUAAAUGGGUAAGAAAAUAUUAACCACAAUCUUUAAUCUUCAAGACUCCAGUGUGUUUGUGCAAACCCUAGCUCAAGAACUUGUUCUUUCUAGUCUAUAUGGACUGAAAAUAAGCCAAAGAUCUGUUCCUGAUGAACUGAUUUGGGUAUAAAAGGUUUUGGGGUAAAAGAAUGUGAAAUGCCAAAAUUUCCCAGAACUGUCCUAGAUACAAAGUAUCGCGAUCGCGUGACUUCGCCUGCGAUCACGUAGAGUGACUGCUGAAGCUUCUGCGAUCGUGUGCAUGGACCUGCGAUCGCGCAUAUGGACUUGCUCAAGUUCUACGAUCGCGUGCACGAGUAUGUGAUCACAUGGAGUUGAUUUCUGAACUUCUGCAAUCGCGUGAACACACCUGCGAUCGUGUUUAAUAAUUUCCCAGAACAGUGCGAUCGCUUCCCUCAUUCUGCGAUCGCGUGUAGUAUUUUCCUAGCAGUCCCUUUUCCAAACUUUUGGUACAACUUACUUGAUUUCUUCAAUUUUUUUUCAAAUCACAUAACACCUGAAAAUUGCCAAUAAACUUCAUAAAGUGUCCUGGUUUCCAACCAAAGUUAUGCAAAAGUUUAAUUAUUAAGAGGACAUAAGUAGGUAAAAUACCAACUUAUCAAACCCCAACUUAAACUAUUGCUUGUCCUCAAGCAAUAAAAAAAGUUAAAAACUAAGAACAUCUUUUAUUCAAAUCAUCAUUUAUGCUCAAUGGCAAAUCAAAUAUUAUUUCAAGUCAAAAAAGGACCACUUUAAGCGCAACCAAGUAACUUCGGUUGGUACCAACAAUUACUUUAAGGCAUAUGCAUUAUACAACACUUCUUAUGAAGUUCAUUAUAUUUCAAGUGCUCAAAUAGUAAUGUCAAUCAAAGUAGCAAUCAAGUAAUGACACUAAAGCUUCAAAAUUUACCUCUAUAUCACAAUUAACUUUCUUUGGUCAUUCUUAUCAAUUGAGAAUGAGAUUAAAUUCACAACUAAAUUCUCAUGUUCCCUUACAUUCAAGAGAGGAUCCCACACUCAUUAAUCUUAAUUUAAUAAAUGGGAUAUCAAAUAGAAAGAAUUAACUCUCUCUCAAAAAGAAUUUCAAAUUGAUCCCACACUCAUAAAUCUCAAUUUUAAAUAAAAAAUGGGAUAUCAAAUAGAAAGAAUUAACUCGCUCUCAAAAAGAUGUUCAAAUGCAUACAAGUAGUACCAUAGGCUUGCCCUCAUGUAUUUCUCCACUAAUGUAGACAACUUAGUACAAAAUCAAUUAGGACUUAAAGGGUGUAUUUUAGGUAUUUGGUUAAGGUAAGGCACAAUUUUGGUUAAAGUGACUCAAUACUUUCCCAAGCACUACAAAGUUUACAAUUAAAGUCCACUUCCUUCAAAGAUAUUUUCCAUCCUUUCUUUACUUUUUAUUCCAUACAUAAUCUUCCAUUUAUUCACAACUUUUAUCAACGUAUAUUAUAUAAACUUUUUUUUAUUAUACCUUUCACCUUUUCAAACAAUUUCCAUAUUACAACUUUCCCAACUUUCACCCCCAAACUUAGGAUUUUACCCAACAUAAAUACUUUCAAGGUACUUAGGGAAGUAGGGUGCCAAAAAGUAUAUCACUUAAGAACAAAGGAUUUAAGCAUGUAACAUGGUUUCCAAAGAAUAAGGUUAAAGUCUCAAAGUUAGUUGACUAGGAAAAAUAUUUAAGAGUAGGAAUUUUUAGGCAUACUAGCGGUCCAAGGAAGGCCUAAUAUCAUUUUUCAAUCCAAGUUAGUCUAUAAUUUCGCCUCAAAACACAUUCCGGGCAAGUUCUAGACCACAAGUAAUACAAAAGAACUCACAAAUAAAUCUCACCGCACAUGGCACAUGAAAACUCAAAUGGAGUACAAAUCCACAUUCCAAUUAACACAAAUAACUCAAGGAGAUUAUAUAGCAUAAAAGAAGCGAUUUAGUGAAUUAAAGAGCCAAAAACUGAAUCUAAAAUGUCAUGACGUUUUCACUUCAGUUGUUCUCUUUUUCAAAAAAAUUCAUAUGCCCAGGAUUAACUAUAUUGGUACCAAACAAGUUGUGUGUUGGCUUAUACACCCCAAAAACUAAUUUAUUCACAACUAGCUACUAAAAAAAUAUUAACUUUCUAACAAAAAAAAUAAAGACUAAUUCCCUUAAGAAAUGUGUCACGCCAUCCAUCAUAGGGAAAAGUCACCCGGUUCAACACAACUAAAUUCCUUGGAAAAGAACCGCAAUAGAAAGAAAAACCAAGGAAUUACCUUAAUACUAUUAUACUAAAAAAAUUUAACCAAAAAUCUACACAUAUAAAAUUGUAAAACCAAAUAAACAACAAGAAAAAUAGAAACUAUCUUAAUACUGUUAUACUAAAAAGAAUUUACCAAAUAUUUAAAUACAAAAAAAUUAUAAAACCAAAUAAACAACAAGAAAAAUAGAAUUUAACAAAGACUUACUAACAAUAUUAUCCAUCUACACAAGUUCAAGUUCAAAUUCACAACUACCCAAAAACAACCACUUCAUGUUCCACAAAAAACUACAACUAAAAAUUCCACAAAUAAUCAUCAUAUAUAUAUGAGCCACCCCCGACCAAAUAUAUUGCAUUGUCCCCAAUGAAAUUAUGCAAUUCAAGCCAAAAUGAAAGAGGUGCUCCCUAGAUUGUAUCACUCUUCACUGGAGGUGCUGGGAGGCUCAAGCUCAAACUUAUCACCCGCUUGGAGAACAGAGGCAUACAAUUUAAGUUCCAGCAGUCAGGAGCCCGCCUGAAAAACAUAGGUGUUGCAAUUUCAAUUUUAGUUUUCAAUUAAUUUCUUUGUCUAUUUUGAAGUCAGAAGCCCACCUGGAGAACGGAGGCAUACAUUGCAAGUUUCAGCAGUCAGGAGCCCACUUGGAGAACAGAGACAUACAAUUCAAGUUUCAGCAGUCAGGAGCCCGUCUAAAAAACAGAGGUUUUACAAUUCAAAUUUUAGUUUGCAAUUUCUUUGUCUAUUUUGAAGUCAGGAGUCCGCCUGGAGAACAGAGGUAUACUUUCAAAUUUCGAAGUUAGGAGCCCGCCUGGAUAGUAGAGAAAUACAUUUUCAAGUUUGAAGUUUGGAGCCCGCCCGUAUAACAGAGGUAUUAUGAUUCAUGUUUUAGUUUUCAAGUUCUUACUAAUAUUCGGUAACAUGCACCCAGUUUCCAAACUGGGGCAGAAAGUUUUUUUUCUUUGUCUAUUUUUGUGAAGUCAGGAUCCCGCCUGGAUAACAGAGGAGUACAUUCAAGUUUUGAAGUCAGGAGCCCGGCCGUACAACAGAGAAAUACAUUUCAAGCUUUGAAGUCAGGAGCCCGUUUGGAGAAAACAGGUAUUACAAUUCAAGUUUUAGUUUUCGAGUUGUUAUUAGUAUCCGAUAAAGUGAUGCCUAGUUUCCAAAAUGGGCCAGAAAGUUUUCUUUGUUUUGUCUAUUUUUGUGAAGUCAGGAGCCCGCUUGAAUAAAAGAGGAAUACAUUCAAGUUCAAGUUCAGCAGUAAGGAGCCCGCCUGGAUAAUAGAGGAAUACAUUCAAUUUCAAGUUCAGCAGUCAAGAGCUAAUCUGGAUAGCAUAGGAAUACUUUCAAGUUCAAGUUCAGCAGUCGGGAGCCCGCCCGUACAACAGAGGAGAUAAAUUCAAGUUUAAUAGUUUGAAGAGAAGAGACAACAUCUCAGUUUACAAUUCGAAGCGGCAACAAUGGAUUUCAACAAGAGAACAUUAGACAACAAGGCAACAAGAAUCACAAGACCAAGUUUGAAGAAUUUAGAUAGGACUUUUAUAAUUCGUAGUUCAUAGCUUAGCCUAGCUUCUUUUAUUUUGACAGUAUAAUAACGGAGGUCAGCAAGCAGUAGCAGCAACAAUCACAGUGAAAUCAUAGCUCCUGGUAGUCCCAGCUACCAGACAUUCCCGAACUACACUGACCUGAUUAUUUUUUAGCCAAGGAUAUGUAGGCAGCCGCCGAAGAAGGGUGCGGUCAAUUCUUUCAAAAAUGCUUCGCACGGAAUAUUCAAAUGGGCAAAAAUCGCUCGUUUCCGCUCACUUAUCUUUGCACGAAAAUUAUUCGUGUUUCUGGGCAAAGAGGGGCAGCUGUGAGCACGUGGUUUUUGCCUUAAGCGAAUUAUUCCCAAAAAUUCAAACAAAUCGAAUUCUUUCAUUAUUUUUGCAAUGUUUGUGAAUUUUUUUUCAUUUUUCUGUUAAUUGUUUGCAUUUUAUUUGUGUAUUUUAAUUCAUAUGAAAAGAUACAAAAAUUACACUUGGAAUUUGUUUAAGAUUUAAUUUCUCAUUUUAGGAAUAAGUAGUAGUUAUAAUUGCUUAAAAAUAAAGAAAAUAACAAAAAUGGUCUAUUUUCAUUUUUAGUUUUAAUUUGUCUUAAUUUGUGUUUAAUUAGGAAUUAGGGUAUUUGGGAAUUAAAUAAUAUUUUUUAGAAGUCAAUUUGGUUUUAUGUUUUUUAAUUUUGCAUUUUAAUAAAAUCAGAAAAAAAUAUAAAUACACAAUGAAAAAAAGGGAAAGAAAAGAAAACAAUUAAAAGGAAGGGNNNNNNNNNNNNNNNNNNNNNNNNNNNNNNNNNNNNNNNNNNNNNNNNNNNNNNNNNNNNNNNNNNNNNNNNNNNNNNNNNNNNNNNNNNNNNNNNNNNNNNNNNNNNNNNNNNNGGGGGGGGGGGGGGGGGGGGGGGAGCUAAAGUGGGCUGUUCAUAAUUAAACACCCUUAGCCCAAAGCUCUUAACCCAUUUCAUACCAGUCAAUACGCACCCUUCAGUCCAUCCCAAACGCCCCACCCGGUCCAUCUCCGUUGGAUAGCUAAAUGACGUAGUAUCGAUUUAAACACAUCUCAGCUGUCGAGGAUCUUUGAUUCAACGGCUGAGAACUGGGAAAUGCUUAAUACUUAACGGUCGGAUGUCCCCCACCCACCACCAUCUCAUCUCUCUCACAAGCCAUCAGAGACCCAAACCUAAUGCCGCCGGCGGCAAGUCUCCAAACGACCUAAAAAAUACGCCAUGGAUUCCCCAUGAACUCCUCUUCCCAAACCUUAAAUUUUCAAGGCUCGAAUCACACCUAAUCUUCUCGAAUAUUCAAGAUUGUUGCCGCCGCCUCCGCUGCACAUGACGGCGCCGUCCCAAACUGUCACCAAAUUUACACCAUAGGUUCACCUCCCCCCUACAUAACGAGUCCACACCCAUUUCACCUUAAAGCUCACCGGAACUACUCGAAUAUUAGUUUAAAACUUCCAGCCAAAACCCUAAGUCCUCCAAACACCACUAAACUGACACCAUGUGGCCUCUUCGCCUUCCUCGUGAUGAAUCCACCGUCAUAGGCCCUUGAAUCUCAUUGGAGUCAGCCAAAUUUUGAAUCUGAAAAAUGGACGGUGAGUUUACUUAGGUUUCUUAGUGUUUCCUUUAAAUUAAUUAGUUGUUUUAAUCAAUUUGAGUCUAGUUUUUAUUUGUUUUCUACUCUUUUGUGCUAUUUCUGAUUAUUAGUUUGGUCAAUUCUGAUCUAAUCUUCGUUUCACUUCUGUUAGUUUAAAUGUUCAAAUGGCAGUUUAAUUAGUUCAAGUGAUUAAUUGUUAGUUUAAUUGGAUUCAAUUAAAUUUUUAUGUAGCUGCUUUUCUUCUGAUAAUAACAAUGUGUUCGUUUGGUUGCAAUUUGAUUAGGAUUAGUUAGGCUUUUAAUAAUUGAUUUCGUGUUGUAAAUCAGUAGUUGUUUAGUAGUUGUUCUGUAAGUAGCAAUUAGUAGCAGCUUGAAUUAGUUUAGUGAUUGAGUUAAACUCUUUUGAUGUAUGGUUUUAUUUUUAAAUUCAGUGUUUGUUUUCAAGUAGUUGUUAGGAUUAGUUUAGUUAAUCGGGUUAUAGAUGAACAAAUCAGUCUUUAGUUAGUCAUAGGGUUGGAUUUAGUUAACAAGUGGUAGUUCAUUCAAGGGUAUCCAGGGGUAAUUUGGACACUUCAAAGAGAAAGAAUGUUGUAGUUGAGACUAGAACCACCUAGAACCUUCUAGGGUAGGGCUUUAGUUUAGGUUUUGGUAAAUUUAGGGUACUUACUUGAGCAACAAGUCAAAAAAUAGAGGGUUAAGUAGUCAAAAACUGAAAAAUAAAGAGGGACUAAAAGGAAAACACAAAAUCUGAGGGUUGCCUAUUAGUUGCAGUAAAUUUAGGGUACUUACGUGAGCAACAAGUCAGAAAAUAUAGAGUUAAGUAGUCAAAAACUAAUAAAUAAAGGGACUAAAAGGAAAACACAAAAUCUGAGGGCUGCCUAUUAGUUUCCUAUAUAAGGAAAUCCCCUAGUACCUUGAAGGGGAAGUUUUUUUCAGCCUAAAAAAUUCUCCCCAAAUAUCCUAUAGUUUCAGAUUCAAAAUCAGAUCUAGAAUUAGAAAUUUCUUUCAUAAUUUUAAGCUUUUCUACAGAAAAAACCAAAAAAAGCAACAAAAACUCUUUGAAAACAUUGUUCCAUUGACAGUCCAUAGUUUAGUGACUGAAAAUGUGACGACCCGGCCGGUCGUCUUUGAAAUUUAUUUCCCGUUCCCCCAUUAACUGCUACCCUUAAGUUCAUUUCUGCUAUUUUGGUUUGUCGGGACGUUCGGUGUUAGAAUUCUGAGUGUUUUGGGACACUUAGUCACUAAAUGAGAGCUUAAGUGUUGUAAAGUGGUCCGUAAUUGAAACAAUAGGAAUACGACUUUGGAAUAGAAAUUUUAUGGUUUCUUUAGCUCCGUUAGGUGAUUUCGGGGUUGGGAGCAUGUUCGGAAUGUAUUUUGGAUGUUCAUAGCUCAUUUAGGCUGGAAAUGACAAAAGUUAGAAUUUGGAGAUUUCCGGUCUGAUAGUGAAUUUGUGACCUAAGGGAUGGAACGGGAUUUCGGAAGUCGCUGUAGCACCUUCAUUUCAUUUGGGACGUGCGUGCAAAGUUUCAGGUCAAUCGGACGAUUUUGGCCAUUCCUCAGGAAACCGCAGAAGCGGUCUUGUUUCCGCCUAAGCGGAACAGCAAAUGCGGUUAUAGGUCCGUAAAAGUGGACUCUGGUCGUUUCAAGUGGAACCACAAAAGCGGGAUCACAGAAGAGGUCCCUGGACCGCAAAAGCAGAAACCACUGUUCUAAUAAGGGUUUAUCCGAGACUUAAUUUCAAAAGUUGGAAAAUUCAAUUUGGAGCUCGGGUAAAGGCGAUUUUGAUAGGGUUUCGAAGUAGUGGGUAACGUUUCUAUGAUACUUUCUAGUUAUAUUCCAUCAUUUAAUAGUUAAAUCCAUUUUUUAAAUUCAAAUUAAGGAUCAAAAUUGGGAGAAUUUGGGUGAAAGUUCAUUGGGUUAAUUAUUGAGUUUUGAGGGGGAAAUUGACCUCCGAUUUGGGAGAUUUUGGUAUGGUUAGACUCGUGAGAGUAUGAGGUUUUUGAAAACGUGAAAACUAUUCGAUUCCAAGGCGUUGGCUUGAGGGGUAUUUUGGUCAUUUUAAAUAUUUUCGCGCCUUAGCUUUAAUUUUAAUAGUGGAUUUAGUUACUUGCGAUAUUAUUUACAUUAUGUAAUUGGUUUGAAUAGAUUUGAGCCAUUCAGAGUCGGAUACUCGUGGCAAGGGCAUCGUUCCUUAGUGAUGUUUGCAUCGGUUCGAGGUAAGUGGCUUGUCUAACCUUGUAGGGGGACCUCUCCCCUUAGGAUCUAUUAAUUGUUAUUUUAAAUGCUCGGUAUGCGAGGUGACGAGCGUGUACUUGUGUUGGUUGUUGAAAAUCCAUUUUACUUAGAAUAUAUAACUGUGUUUUCUUGCAAAUUUGCCUAUUUUAAAUGUAAUUUAACCCGUGUUUGCUUCGGAUAAGCAUGUUUAGCUGACUUACUUGCUUAGUUGCUUAAAUUGUAUUACCUGUCCUACGUGAAGCAUGCUAGACUAGAAAUUUCAUUAAUUGUUCUUACUUAGCACCUUAUCUUAUUUGAAUUGUGUGGUAUUACAAAUUGGUACUGCAGGACGGUAUUCCGCUAAUUCCCUUAUAUGUGUUUCGUUUUAUGACUAAGAGUGCGGGAUAACAAGAGAUCCCUGGCACAGAUAUGAUUACAAAAUGGAGGAUACCAAGAGAUCUUCGGGAUACCAAGGGAUCCCUGGCACAAUGGAGGAUACCAAGAAAUCCUCAGGAUACUAAGAGAUCCCUUGUACGUGAAGCAUGCUAGACUAGAAAUUUCAUUAAUUGUUCUUACUUAGCACCUUAUCUUAUUUGAAUUGUGUGGUAUUACAAAUUGGUACUACGGGACGGCAUCCCGCUAACUCCCUUUGUAUGUGUUUCGUUCUAUGACUGAGAGUGCGGGAUACCAAGAGAUCCCUAGCACAGAUAUGAUUACAAAAUGGAGGAUACCAGGAGAUCCUCGGGAUACUAAGAUAUCCCUUGUUUAAGAAUGAAGGAUACUUAAAGAUCCCCGGGAUAAUAGGAUAUCCCUCGUGUAUAUGAUGAGGAUACCAGGAGAUCCUCGGGAUACUAGGAGAUCCUCUAUGAAGGAUAUCCGGUGAUGAUUUGCACUUCUAUUUACUUACUGUGUUAAUUCUCGGUUACUGUCAUCAUUAUUUUUUUUGCUAAAUUCUCGCAGUAGAUUAUUUCCAUACGGUUUUUCCUUAUUUUAUUCACUAUUAUGUUUUUAUCACAGUAGGGCCUCGACCUUUCCUCGUCACCACCCGACCGAGGUUAGGCUUGGCACUUACUAAGUACCGGUGUGGUGUACUAACACCUAUUCUGCGCAUGUUUUCAUGUACAGAUCCAGCUACCUCUACGCAGAGGCAUUAUCAGUAGCUGCAAGGACUAUUUCGGAGACUCUAGGUAUACCUGCCGCGUCCGUAGAUCGGAGAAUCUCCCUCUCACUCCACCCCUUUCAGUCAGUUAGAUGCAAUUCUGUUCUUCUUUAUCAUAGACUUUUCCGAAUGAUUAGAGCAAUGUUAUGUUUUACUCUUAGCCUGUGUUGCCCGUGGGUUUCCGGUCAUUGGGAUAGUUCCAGAUUGUAAAGUGUUAAAGUGUUUGUGCCAGGUGUCAACUAUAUACAUUAUUCAUGUAAUUUCUCUUUUGGAUUUUAAAUUUCGUAAAUGUUGUUACUUCCGCAAUGUGUUAGACUUACCUAGUCGUGAAGACUAGGUGUCGUCAUGACAUGUUCACAAUCAGUGAACUUGGUCGUGAUAGAAUAUGACUCAAAUGCUUCUGGAAUACUGAUUGUUGAGGUUCAGAGGUCUACUGGUUUAAACUUCGAGUCACAUUGGGGUAUAUUUGAGUUAUUGGUUGGAUAUGUCUGAUUGCUGAAGGUUUUUCUGGAAGUCCCGGGUUCAAGUUCAAGCUCAUUUGAGUUUAUUCAGUUGUAUGUGGUUGAGUCUCUAUUUUUGUUUAGUUUUGGACUUUUGCUGGUGGGCUGCAUUCAUUUCUAGGUUGUUGUUCAACCUCUUCCUUUCUAUACUAUUGAUUUCAUCUUCUUCUGUUAUACUUUGAUUGCCAGUUACACAUUCCUGAAUUUACUUCGAUGUAACUGUGAAUUGAAGUUGAAAUGGAGGUGUUCAUAAGAUUUGUGUGCGAAGAAUGUUUUCUGUUGUUUGUAGUUUAUAGUUAAAUAGAUUUUUGUAGCAUUUGGUUAGCCUUUAUUUGCAUUACAUGGAAAUUAGGAAUAUGGAUUGUAUCAGGACUACUUCUAAAUUGUUUCGGCUGUUUGAUUCGUAGACUGUCCGGACUUUUGGACUAGUGAUCGUUCGUUAGCCAUGUUGUAGUUCAAUCUAGUUUUGUGUAGUGUGAUUUUUGAAAAUCAGAAGAUAGGCAGAAUAGAAAAU
rnacentral:lncRNA from 1 species